ACGAACGCUGGCGGCGUGCUUAACACCUGCAAGUCGAACUGAAAGGCCCCUUUGGGGGUACUCGAGUGGCGAACGGGUGAGUAACACGUGAGUAACCUGCCCUUGACUUCGGGAUAACUUCAGGAAACUGGGGCUAAUACCGGAUAGGAAUCCUUGCUGCAUGGUGGGGGUUGGAAAGCUUCGGCGGUUUUGGAUGGACUCGCGGCUUAUCAGCUUGUUGGUGGGGUAGUGGCUUACCAAGGCUUUGACGGGUAGCCGGCCUGAGAGGGCGACCGGCCACAUUGGGACUGAGAUACGGCCCAGACUCCUACGGGAGGCAGCAGUGGGGAAUAUUGCACAAUGGGCGGAAGCCUGAUGCAGCAACGCCGCGGGCGGGAUGACGGCCUUGGGGUUGGAAACCGCUUUCAGCAGGGGCGAAGCUUGUGGUGACGGUACCUGCAGAAGAAGCACCGGCUAACUACGUG
rnacentral:rRNA from 1 species